rnacentral:rRNA from 1 species
GAUGAACGCUAGCUACAGGCUUAACACAUGCAAGUCGAGGGGCAGCAUUUUAGUUUGCUUGCAAACUGAAGAUGGCGACCGGCGCACGGGUGAGUAACACGUAUCCAACCUGCCGAUAACUCCGGGAUAGCCUUUCGAAAGAAAGAUUAAUACCGGAUGGCAUACGAAUAUCGCAUGAUAUUUUUAUUAAAGAAUUUCGGUUAUCGAUGGGGAUGCGUUCCAUUAGUUUGUUGGCGGGGUAACGGCCCACCAAGACUACGAUGGAUAGGGGUUCUGAGAGGAAGGUCCCCCACAUUGGAACUGAGACACGGUCCAAACUCCUACGGGAGGCAGCAGUGAGGAAUAUUGGUCAAUGGGCGAGAGCCUGAACCAGCCAAGUAGCGUGAAGGAUGAAGGCUCUAUGGGUCGUAAACUUCUUUUAUAUGGGAAUAAAGUUUUCCACGUGUGGAAUUUUGUAUGUACCAUAUGAAUAAGGAUCGGCUAACUCCGUGCCAGCAGCCGCGGUAAUACGGAGGAUCCGAGCGUUAUCCGGAUUUAUUGGGUUUAAAGGGAGCGUAGGUGGAUUGUUAAGUCAGUUGUGAAAGUUUGCGGCUCAACCGUAAAAUUGCAGUUGAAACUGGCAGUCUUGAGUACAGUAGAGGUGGACGGAAUUCGUGGUGUAGCGGUGAAAUGCUUAUAUAUCACGAAGAACUCCGAUUGCGAAGGCAGCUCACUAGACUGUUACUGACACUGAUGCUCGAAAGUGUGGGUAUCAAACAGGAUUAGAUACCCUGGUAGUCCACACAGCAAACGAUGAAUACUCGCUGUUUGCGACAUACAGUAAGCGGCCCAGCGGAAGCAUUAAGUAUUCCACCUGGGGAGUACACCCGCGACGGUGAAACUCAAAGGAAUUGACGGGGGCCCGCACAACCGGAGGAGCAUGUGGGUUAAUUCUAUGAGACGCGAGGAACCUUACCCGGGCUUGACUUGCCACAGAAUGCAUUGGAAACAGAAUGUCCCUUCCCCUGUUACGAAAGAGCUGGGUGGUUGGCGUCGUCCUCUCCCGUGACGUGUCGGUGUUAUUGCCCUACCGAGCGCAACGCCCCUCUUGUCUUAUGCACACGUUAUGUUGAGGACUCUACAGAGACUGCCGUCACUAGAUGUGAUGAAGGUGGGGAUGACGUCAAAUAUCAUCGGCCCUCUCAUCUGGGGUACCUCACGGCUACUACGAGGGGGGCAACGAAUGAGGUCUCCGUUGCCACGAGGUGAUCUCCCAAAACACAUCCCCGAUCUCAUAGUAGAUUGCGGCUCGCCUAUCUGACGAAGGAGGCGUCAGUA